rnacentral:rRNA from 1 species
UACGUAGGGUGCGAGCGUUGUCCGGAUUUAUUGGGCGUAAAGGGCUCGUAGGCGGCCUGUCGCGUCGAGAGUGAAAGCCCACUGCUUAACGGUGGGUCUGCUUCCGGUACGGGCGGGCUAGAGUAUGGCAGGGGAGACUGGAAUUCCCAGUGUAGAGGUGAAAUUCGUAGAUAUUGGGAAGAACACCGGUGGCGAAGGCGGUUCUCUGGGCCUUACCUGACGCUGAGGAGCGAAAGCGUGGGGAGCAAACAGG